rnacentral:rRNA from 1 species
AACGAACGCUGGCGGCAUGCCUAACACAUGCAAGUCGAACGAGACCUUCGGGUCUAGUGGCGCACGGGUGCGUAACGCGUGGGAACCUGCCCUUAGGUUCGGAACAACUCCCCGAAAGGGGUGCUAAUACCGGAUAAUGUCUUCGGACCAAAGAUGUAUCGCCUUUGGAUGGGCCCGGGUUGGAUUAGCUAGUUGGUAGGGUAAAAGCCUACCAAGGGGACGAUCCAUAGCUGGUCUGAGAGGAUGAUCAGCCACACUGGGACUGCGACACGGCCCAGACUCCUACGGGAGGCAGCAGUGGGGAAUAUUGGACAAUGGGCGCAAGCCUGAUCCAGCAGUGCCGCGUAAGUGAUGAAGGCCUUAGGGUUGUAAAGCUCUUUUACCCGGGAUGAUAAUGACAGUACCGGGAGAAUAAGCUCCGGCUAACUCCGUG